AUUGAACGCUGGCGGCAUGCCUUACACAUGCAAGUCGAACGGCAGCACGGGAGCAAUCCUGGUGGCGAGUGGCGAACGGGUGAGUAAUAUAUCGGAACGUGCCCAGUCGUGGGGGAUAACGUAGCGAAAGCUACGCUAAUACCGCAUACGAUCUAUGGAUGAAAGCGGGGGAUCGCAAGACCUCGCGCGAUUGGAGCGGCCGAUAUCAGAUUAGGUAGUUGGUGGGGUAAAAGCCUACCAAGCCUUCGAUCUGUAGCUGGUCUGAGAGGACGAUCAGCCACACUGGGACUGAGACACGGCCCAGACUCCUACGGGAGGCAGCAGUGGGGAAUCUUGCGCAAUGGGGGCAACCCUGACGCAGCCAUGCCGCGUGAACGAUGAAGGCCUUAGGGUUGUAAAGUUCUUUCGGCGGGGACGAUAAUGACGGUACCCGCAGAAGAAGCCCCGGCUAACUUCGUGCCAGCAGCCGCGGUAAAGCGUAUGU
rnacentral:rRNA from 1 species